rnacentral:rRNA from 1 species
UACAGAGGGCUCAAGCGUUGUUCGGAUUCAUUGGGCGUAAAGGGUGCGUAGGUGGCAUGGUAAGUCGGAUGUGAAAUCCCGGGGCUCAACCCCGGAACUGCAUUCGAUACUGCUGCGCUAGAGUACUGGAGAGGAGAUUGGAAUUUACGGUGUAGCAGUGAAAUGCGUAGAUAUCGUAAGGAAGACCAGUGGCGAAGGCGGAUCUCUGGACACUUACUGACACUGAGGCGCGAAAGCGUGGGGAUCAAACAGG